ACGAACGCUGGCGGCGUGCCUAAUACAUGCAAGUAGAACGCUGAAGGAGGAGCUUGCUUCUCUGGAUGAGUUGCGAACGGGUGAGUAACGCGUAGGUAACCUGCCUGGUAGCGGGGGAUAACUAUUGGAAACGAUAGCUAAUACCGCAUAAGAGUAGAUGUCGCAUGACAUUUGCUUAAAAGGUGCAAUUGCAUCACUACCAGCUGGACCUGCGUUGUAUUAGCUAGUUGGUGAGGUAACGGCUCACCAAGGCAACGAUACAUAGCCGACCUGAGAGGGUGAUCGGCCACACUGGGACUGAGACACGGCCCAGACUCCUACGGGAGGCAGCAGUAGGGAAUCUUCGGCAAUGGACGGAAGUCUGACCGAGCAACGCCGCGUGAGUGAAGAAGGUUUUCGGAUCGUAAAGCUCUGUUGUAAGAGAAGAACGAGUGUGAGAGUGGAAAGUUCACACUGUGACGGUAUCUUACCAGAAAGGGACGGCUAACUACGUG
rnacentral:rRNA from 1 species